GGCUGGAGACGAGCGACCCUAGAAAAUAUCCGCCUCCACUUCCCCUCUCUCCUCCCUCUCUCGUUUUCCUCCUCUCUCAGAUCGGGUGCCAUCGCACGCCAUGGUUUCGGAUUGGGCAGAGGUCGCCGCCAUGGGAGAAGGGGAGGGUGAGACCUGGGGCUCUACCAGCAGCACACGUGAGCAGAGGGCCUAAGUGCCAGGUGAGCUCUCGCCCGCUGUGCCCGCGCCCUGCCGCCCGCCGCCGCCGCGCGCCCCCGCCAUGCCCGCCUGCUCGCCUGGGCGGCGUAGCCCCGCCUGCGCACUGCAGCGGCGGCCUGCUGCUCCACCGCAUCCGCACCGCGCUCGCCCUGCCAUGCCCGCAUCCGCGCCGCGCCAGGCCACACCCCCCCGCCUGCGCGCUCGCCCGCGAGCUCGCCUCCGCCGCCGCUGCUCAGCCCAGGCCAUGACGAGCUCACCCGCGCGCUCACCCUGCUUCGCCCUGUGCUGGCCUACACGAGCAGUAACACGGCGACUACCUGCCCCUUGUCGGUCUCCUCCACUCCUCCAGUGCCAGUGGAACGGCGUGAGCACCGCCUGGAUGUCGGGAAACAGCGGCGGCGAAGGCGGAGGUCUCGACGCCGGCGAGGCCAGCCGGAGGGAGCGCCGUGCUCUGCUACUCCGCCCGAGAGCUCCGCUACUCCGCCGCGCGUGCCAGCGCCUGCCCCCCCUUUUUUUGGUUUCUUCCAUCUGGAUUUCUGAUUUGAUUUCAAAGUGUGGAGGUGGAUGGUACUUCAGGGAGGAAGUUGGUUGCAAUUUCCUUUUGUACAAUGCAGCGGGCACAAAAUAAUUUGCAGGCAAGCUUUCUUUCAGCGAUUGGUGAGUUACAGGUCAACUGUGUCUCACCCACUGAAAAAAAUAGCGCGCUAUACCGUCGCUAAUAGCACGCUAUAGCGUAUUGAGAAUUGUCUCGCUAAAUAUAUCGGUGUACAAUGUCUCGCUAAUAGCACGCUAUAGCGCGAUAUAGCAUGCUAAUAGCAUAUUUUGAGGUCGCCGCUAUUUUGCUGUAGCGCGCUAUUUUUUUCAUUGGUCUCACCUCACUAAAUCGGGUUCUCAUGCUUUUUCUUGCUUGAUAUUAAUCAAUAUUCUUGGCACAUCCUUACAGGGAUAUCAUGUACAGUGCUAAUCACCUAAUGCGAUUUAGACCAGCGAGUUUUCUAUUUUGGCCUUUGUUUUCUAUGUGCAGGGUGUAUGCAGAUCUAUGGGAGUUCAUACAAUGCAACGGCUACGAUUUAAUUAGUAGUUUCCUUCAUUUUCAUAUUGUUCUUUAGCCCUGCUAUUUGUAUGGUUCAGUUUGCAUUUUUAUGCUCAGAUGAAAGAAUAAUUUCUCCAACAGCAGGUUUAUGUACCAUGGAUAUAUAACUUCGAUUUUUUGUCCAAUAUAUAGCCUUUUAAAUAAUGGAUAUGGUAAAUGCAUCGUUAGUAACCACUGGAAUUAAAAGUAUUCAGUCAGUCUCUUUGAUAUCCAGCAUGGUCAAUCUAAAUAGAUGAAUGAUGGAGAGAGGGUACUUUUGGGCUUUUCUAGAAGAUGCUCUUGAGUUAACUGUUCAUUGCUGCUUGUUUGUAAUGUGUUCUUUGAAAUCUAAUCGGUCCAUCUUUGUGAUGUUUUUUAGGUGUGUGCUCAUGCCUAGGUUUGUGUUCUCAACUUGAGUAUAUGGUGCCCAUAUUGUGAUGGAUAUCAGGGAGUCACCACGGUGCUGCCUUUGCUCAUCCCCUCGGGCCUCAUGCACUAACUCGAGGAUGGCGCCGAUGGAUCGGCCAACUCCAUCCUGGCCGACGGCAAGGGCGAAUGCUGGUUUCCAAGGUGGUUCUCCCAGUCAAUGAAGUGGUAUGGAGCAGCAAACCAUGGAUGAUUUGGAGGCUGCUUGGGCAUGAAGCAGUAAAACAUGAUAACAAUUUUCGCCGACCUUUGUUGCAGCUCCUCUGCCAUGCUUUUUUCUCCGAAGAGGAGCAACAGGUAAGGAGCGCAACCCUUCGUGCAUCAUGCUCCAUGGUGCAGCAGCCAGAACAGGCGACCACGGGUGAGCGAAUGGUUGAUCUGAUGCCAAGGUGGUCCUUGGUCCAUUACCCUUUAUGCUGAAAAUUGCUUCUCUUGGUCAUCUCUGUGCUUCUGACAGCCACCAGAGGAACAUGUGGCAACUAAUUUAUGCUUCAUUAUCUACUCAUUUUUAUUCCUGACAUUUAGGUCUUGUCCUUUAUCAGUUCUUUUACAAGGAGGGAUAUAAUAUAUCUCUGAACUAAAAUACACCCAAGUUCCUAUUCCCGCUACCACAUAAUAUAUAUUGUUGCCUUGUGUUGUAAUGGUUUUGUUGUCACACUUGUAUAAGUAAAGUGGGCAGGAUGAAUGACGUUAAGCAAACCAUUUCCUGCAAACUAAACUAAGGCUUGCCAUAUUUAGUAAUCAUGCAUAUGCAUGUACAUUAGUUUCUAUCAUGUAGCAUAUCUUCAGGUUUCAGAAUUUAAAUGUCCUUUGUCUUGUGUACCAGGUGGUUAACUGAGAUUUUGUUUGCUUGUUUUACUGAUUUUUUUGAGCAAUGCCGACAUACAUGGUUUAUGAUGUUAUUGGUGGUCUGAAGUUUUUGUAGAAGCAUUUGAGUGUUCUCGAGCUUAGGAGUUAGGAACUCAAGGAACAGUAAUAAAAACAUUCCGAUCUGCUGCUGAAGGAUGAUCGUUAAUUUCAUUAGCUAUCCUGAUUUCUUUUCGACGCUGAGCCAGGGUUACGGACGAUGGCAGGAGCGAGCAGUGGCAAGUGUUUUCUCAUUUCCAGUAUGUUUGAUGUUCAGUUCAUAGGAACAUCCUAGACCACCUUUGGAAAAACCACAGCCUUCACUACCCCAGCAAAGCAUGGAUGUGCCAUAGAAAUGGUGUCAUCCAUCAGGACCUUAAACUAGAGAACUUACACGCAAAUAAGAAGAGUUCUCCUCUAAAGGCAAUUGAUUUUGGGCUAUCUGUGUUCUUCAGGACUGGCAAACCAUACUAUAUGGCCCGAGAGGAUCACCUUACAAAUUGCUUUGAUGUUGUGAAGAAACUGAACAGAUAUACAAGAGCAUGAGCUCUUUGUCAGGGGCUACCUUUACUUGUGUGGCCUCUCGCUGAGGAGUCCUUUAGAUGCUUUGCGCCUGCUCCGUUGUUAUGCUACUGUGGAACGAUGAGCCAUCUGGCCAGGCUCAUCGCCACCUCAUAUGUUAUCGCCGUUGUACCCACCUGGCCAGGCUCAUCGCCACCUCACUACUGGAAUUAGGAUCUUUGCCGUCAGCCAGCUCUUUGCCGUCUGCUAGCUGACGGCAAAGAAGGUCUUUGCCAUCAGCUUACAGAAAGCUGACGGCAAAGAAAGAGCGGAUGACAAAGAGGGUGUUUGCCAUCAGCCUGCUCUUUGCCGUCAGCUAACUGACGGCAUAGAAUUUUUGCCGUCUGCUAGCAGACAACAAAGAGGGUGGGUGGUCCACUAACGAGAAUGACCUAAUGGCCACUUUCUUUGCCGUCUGGAGCUCGAAAGCAGACGGCAAAGAAAAUAACCUAACGUAUCUAACGGCCGCCCCCGCCCCCGGCAGACGGCACGGAUCGAUGACUUAGCACACACCCACCCACGACCCACACAGCCCUGGCCCCCACCCACGAUGCACACACACACCCACACCCACGUUGGAUCCCAUCUCUCUCGUUUUCCUCGAUCCCCUUUCUCCACCCCACGCCGCCGCCAGAUUCCGGUGAUCCCCGUCGUUCCCCACCGCCCAGCUCUCCUCCCCGAGGUCACCUUUCCCCACUCACCAUCUCCACCGACUGGUUUCUCUCCUCGCCCAGGAGAGCCACGCCCAGGCACUGGUGGUGGUGCACCGCGAGGAGGCCCCAGCGGCGUCGAGCUGCUGUUGCGGCGGGCUGUUGCUGCGGGCACAGCGACGUCGGCGAGGUCGGGAAGGUCGCAGCCCUUCAAGAUUCUCAAUGGCGGCGUCUCGGCGCUGAUGGCGGAGUCGACGGUGAGCAUCGGCGGGUACAUGGCGUCGGGGUACUGGAGGGUGGCCGGCGUGCAACUCUCCAUCAACCACCUCAAGCCCGCCCGCAUCGGCGACCGCAUCAAGACCAAGGCGAACCCCAUCCAGGUCGGCCGCAAUGUCCAGGCAGAGGUCGAGGGACGAGGCGUCUCCAAGCAGAGGCCGGUCUUCUGCAACCUGCAACUACGAUCUUGGACGGCCGGCGCACGCGGGGUUGCAGCCUGCAGGUGAAGUCUUCGGUGGAUUAAUUAUUUCGGUGUCUUGAUGAUGGCAGUAAGAUAGCGUGCUUGUCUAUGUCCUCUGUUUUUGUAUUGUGUCCUAACAAUAAAUGAUGCAUUUGUUGAUUUGUGGCAGUGGCUAUCAUCGUCUUAUAAUCUCCAAUAAAUGGUCCAUUUGUUGAUUUGUAGCAGUAUGUCUAUAAUCGGCUGAUAAUCUACUCUGUACUACGUAAGAGAAUGAACAAAAGACAUAUUAAAAUAACUAGCUUUUUUUUGGGCCUUUGUAGGAGUACAUGUUUUAUGUUUGAAGAUGACUAAUACUAUUAUUUAUUGGUAAUACAUGGUUGGAGCUCCUCUUGUGGAAUGACAUGCAUGAUUGGCUGAGCAUGGAAGAGUUGUCAGAAGUAAUGGUUUUGCAAUACAUUUCAUCUUGCUUUGUAAAUAUUGAAAUCCCCACAUGUCGGGAUGCUGCUCCUGCACCGAGCUACUGCUGUUGCGGGCACAACAAUGAGCCGGGGAGCAGCUGCGUCAGGCUGCUGCUACUGCGUUGAGCUGCUGCUGCUGCGGGCGCGACAUCUCUCCUUUCCCCACCUCUGUUGCCUUCUUAAUUUUGGUUGUGGUGGUUGCAUCACCGGCGCGGUCGCAAAUCAGUAUGUAGUGUGCUUGUGGAGUUGGGUCUGGACUGCAGUGUCCAUCCAGUAGGUUAGGUGUUGUUGCUGCUAGAUCCCAUGAUGCUCACCUAAGUUUUGUGUUAUGUGGAGGCCAACCUAUGUGAUCUUAUUUGUCGACACUUGUGUGGUGUUGUCUUACUUUUUGAUACAGGUCAUAUGAUAUAUAUGUUUUUAUGAAUGAUUUUGUGAUGUUCUUAUUUUCCUGUGGUCUGUGUUGA